UCGUUUAACUGUGAUAACUGGGCUUUCGACUACUGGGGAAAAGGAACUAUGGUAACGGUGUCAUCAGCCACUUCAACAAAGCCAACCGUGUUUCCUCUGAUACAAUGUGGUGCCGAAGAUGCAGAAAUGAUCACACUUGGCUGCCUGGCCACCGGCUUCACUCCCUCCUCACUGACUUUCUCAUGGACCAAAAACAACGCGGCCUUGACCAACUUCAUCCAGUAUCCUCCAGUGCAGAAAAACAACUUGUACUCGGAAGUCAGUCAAAUCCAAGUGAGAAGACAGGACUGGAACCAAAGUGAAAUGGUCAAAUGCAUGGUGACUCAUGCUGCUGGGAAUGCAGAGGCUCCUAUCGGGAUGCCAACGGUGGUUUAUCAGCUGCCAACUAUAAAAGUGUGUUCCUCUGAUGAGGGAGAGGAAGUUUCCUUCUCCUGCAUUGCCAAAGAUUUUUCACCAAAAAGUUAUGAGAUCAAAUGGUUGAAAAACGGAAAUGAAGUCACUGGCCAAAAAGACGAGAUCACAGCACCUUUUGGAGAAAGAAAAGACAGCAAUGGUAACACCUUGUACAGUGCGUCAAGUUUUCUCUCAGUACAGACCACAGAGUGGAGUGAUGGAACAACAUUCACAUGUGUGUUUAAGGGGAAAGGGGAAAACAAUGUUGAAGUAUUCAAGAAUGCUUCUGUGACCUACAAAUAUACACAAACGGGACCUGAAGGAUGUAGGGAAGCAGAUGUGGAUGUAAAUAUCUUACACCCCACAGUCGAAGACAUGUUUCUCAAAAGAAAAGGAACUAUAAUAUGUCAAGUCCAGAUAAACAGGGGAAGAGUCGAGAAAAUAUUGUGGCAGGAUGAGAAUAAAACUGACAUGGCUGGUGCAUUUAAGGUCCCACCUAAAGGAAAGAAAGGCACAUUCAACCUUGAACUUGAAAUCACAUAUGAUGAAUGGGCCGAAGGGAAAAAGCGCUACUGCGUUGUUGAAAGUGAAGACUUUUUUGACCCCCUGACAAAACUCUAUGAGAGGAAUAUUGGAGCAAAACCUCAGCGUCCUUCAGUGUUUAUGCUGCCUCCUGUAGAACAAACUAGAAAAGAAAAGGUGACCCUGACUUGCUAUGUGAAAGACUUCUACCCUCAGGACGUUUUUGUGUCUUGGCUUGUUGAUGACGAGGAAGCAAACUCAGAUUUUGAGUUCAAUACCACAAGCUCAGUAGAAAGCAACGGAUCCUAUUCUGCUUAUGGCCACUUAACCUUCACCCUCGAGCAGUGGGCAAAGCCUGAUGCGGUGUAUAGCUGUGUAGUUUACCACGAAUCCCUGGGCAACACAACCAAAACCAUCGUCAGGUCCAUUGGAUACAGAACAGGUGACAAAACCAACCUGGUCAACCUCAACAUGAACGUCCCCGAAACGUGCAAGGCCCAGUAGAUGUUAUGUCAUGUCGCAGUGUCUCCUGUUCUUUGUUGUUUACUGUUUGUUGUUUGUGAUAUGAUGUUGUGUUUGUGUGUUUUUUAAUGCAGAUUCAAAAUCAAAAUAAAAAAAAACUUUGCAACUC